CUUACUUAAAUUGUAGGGUAGAAUUUUUAUUUAGGGAAGAGUGAUCAAUAAUAUUAAACAUGGGAUUUAUUUUUUGGACCAGGAUUAGAUACCCUGUUACUUUUAAUGAAAAAAUUUUGGAGUAGUAAUGUUAAUGAAAUUUAACGGAUUUGGCGGCAAGAUAGCCCCUUAGAGGAACCUGCCCUGUAAACGAUGAACCACGAGGGACUCUACUUUCUUUGGUAGUCAGUUUGUAUAUCGCUGUUGUCAGUUAGAUUCUUGAGAAUAUUUUCGUUUAUGAAAAGUUCAUUGACUUCAAGUAAAGGUGCAGCUUAUAAGGAAGAUAGAGGUGGGUUACAUUUAUGAGAAUAAAACGGAAAGGAUGGAUGAAACAAUCCUUGAAGGUGGAUUUAACUGUAAAACUUAAGUAGGUUUGGUGAGAGCUCUAUCUUGUGUACACACCGCCCGUCGCUCUCUUUUCAAAAC
rnacentral:rRNA from 1 species